UACCUGGUUGAUCCUGCCAGUAGUUCAUAUGCUUGUCUUAAAGAUUAAGCCAUGCAUGUCUAAGUAUAAGCAUUUAUACCGCGAGACUGCGAACGGCUCAUUAAAACAGUUAUGGUUUAUUUGAUGGUUCCUUUGCUACUUGGAUAACCGUAGUAAUUCUAGAGCUAAUACAUGCACGAAGGGGCGACUCACGAAGCCCUGUAUUUAUUAGAUUAAAGCCAACCACCUCCGGGUGUUCGUGGUGAAUCAUAGUAACUUCUCGGAUCGCCGGCCCAGCGCCAGCGACGUGUCAUUCAAAUUUCUGCCCUAUCAGCUUUAGAUGGUAGGAUAUGGGCCUACCAUGGCGGUGACGGGUAACGGAGAAUUAGGGUUCGAUUCCGGAGAGGGAGCCUGAGAAACGGCUACCACUUCUAAGGAAGGCAGCAGGCGCGCAAAUUACCCAAUCCUGACUCAGGGAGGUAGUGACAAGAAAUAACAAUAAACCGGCAUAGCCGGUUUAAUUGGAAUGAGUACAAUUUAAACAUCUUAACGAGGAACAAUUGGAGGGCAAGUCUGGUGCCAGCAGCCGCGGUAAUUCCAGCUCCAAUAGC
rnacentral:rRNA from 1 species